AUUGAACGCUGGCGGAAUGCUUUACACAUGCAAGUCGAACGGCGGCACGGACUUCGGUCUGGUGGCGAGUGGCGAACGGGUGAGUAAUGUAUCGGAACGUGCCCAGUCGUGGGGGAUAACGUAGUGAAAAUUACGCUAAUACCGCAUACGAUCUAUGGAUGAAAGCGGGGGAUCGCAAGACCUCGCGCGAUUGGAGCGGCCGAUAUCAGAUUAGGUAGUUGGUGGGGUAAAGGCCCACCAAGCCAACGAUCUGUGGCUGGUCUGAGAGGACGACCAGCACCACUGGAACUGAGACACGGUCCAGACUCCUACGGGAGGCAGCAGUGGGGAAUUUUGGACAAUGGGCGAAGGCCUGAUCCAGCCAUUCCGCGUGCAGGAUGAAGGCCCUCGGGUUGUAAACUGCUUUUGUACAGAACGAAAAGGUUUCUACUAAUACUAGGAGCUCAUGACGGUACUGUAAGAAUAAGCACCGGCUAACUACGUGCCAGCCGCCGCCGUAA
rnacentral:rRNA from 1 species